rnacentral:rRNA from 1 species
GGCUCAGGAUGAACGCUAGCUACAGGCCUAACACAUGCAAGUCGAGGGGCAGCGCGUUGUAGCAAUACGAUGGCGGCGACCGGCGAAAGGGUGCGUAACGCGUGAGCAACCUGCCCGUAUCCGGGACAUAAGCGGUGGAAACGCCGUCUAAUUUCCCAUAACAACGAGGGCCGCAUGGUCCAUGUUUGAAAGAUGCGUCGGAUACGGAUGGGCUCGCGAGACAUUAGCUAGUCGGCGUGGUAACGGCACACCGAGGCGACGAUGUCUAGGGGUUCUGAGAGGAAGGUCCCCCACAUUGGAACUGAGACACGGUCCAAACUCCUACGGGAGGCAGCAGUGAGGAAUAUUGGUCAAUGGGCGGGAGCCUGAACCAGCCAAGUCGCGUGAGGGAUGAAGGUCCUAUGGAUUGCAGACCUCUUUUGCCGGGGAGCAACGUGCGCCACGCGUGGCGCAGUGAGAGUACCCGGAGAAAAAGCAUCGGCUAACUCCGUGCC